rnacentral:rRNA from 1 species
AGAGUUUGAUCCUGGCUCAGAACGAACGCUGGCGGCAGGCCUAACACAUGCAAGUCGAACGAUAAGCCACUUUCGGGUGGUGAAGAGUGGCGAACGGGUGAGUAACACGUGGGAAUUUGCCUCUCGGUGGGGAACAACGGUUGGAAACGACUGCUAAUACCGCAUACGCCGGAGACGGGAAAGAUUUAUUGCCGAGAGAUGAGCCCGCGCUAGAUUAGGUAGUUGGUGGGGUAAAUGCCUACCAAGCCGACGAUCUAUAGCUGGUCUGAGAGGAUGGCCAGCCACACUGGAACUGAGACACGGUCCAGACUCCUACGGGAGGCAGCAGUGGGGAAUCUUGCACAAUGGGCGAAAGCCUGAUGCAGCCAUGCCGCGUGAGCGAAGAAGGUCCUAUGGAUUGUAAAGCUCUUUCAGAUGGGAAGAUGAUGACGGUACCAUCAGAAGAAGCCCCGGCUAACUUCGUGCCAGCAGCCGCGGUAAUACGAAGGGGGCGAGUGUUGUUCGGAUUUACUGGGCGUAAAGGGCGUGUAGGCGGAUCGAACAGUCAGAGGUGAAAGCCCAGGGCUCAACCCUGGAACUGCCUUUGAUACUUUCGGUCUAGAGUGUGUGAGAGGGUGGUGGAAUAUCCAGUGUAGAGGUGGAAUUCAUAGAUAUUGGAUGGAACACCAGUGGCGAAGGCGGCCACCUGGCGCAUAACUGACGCUGAAGCGCGAAAGCGUGGGUAGCAAACAGGAUUAGAUACCCUGGUAGUCCACGCAGUAACGAUGUGUGCUAACCGUUGGAAUUAUUCAGCGGUGCAGCUAACGCGAUAAGCACACCGCCUGGGGAGUACGAUCGCAAGAUUAAAACUCAAAGGAAUUGACGGGGACCCGCACAAGCGGUGGAGCAUGUGGUUUAAUUCGAAGCAACGCGCAGAACCUUACCGGCUCUUGACAUGAUGUGUUUGGUUACCAGAGAUGGUUUCCUUCAGUUCGGCUGGCUCAUCACAGGUGCUGCAUGGCUGUCGUCAGCUCGUGUCGUGAGAUGUUAGGUUAAGUCCUGAAACGAGCGCAACCCCUAUCCUUAGUUACCAUCAGUUAGGCUGGGAACUUUAGGGACACUGCCGGUGUUAAACCGGAGGAAGGUGGGGAUGACGUCAAGUCCUCAUGGCCCUUACGGGCCGGGCUACACACGUGCUACAAUGGCGACUACAGUGUGAAGCGACCCCGCGAGGGUGAGCUAAUCAAUAAAAGUUGUCUCAGUUCAGAUUGCACUCUGCAACUCGAGUGCAUGAAGUUGGAAUCGCUAGUAAUCGCAGAACAGCAUGCUGCGGUGAAUACGUUCCCGGGUCUUGUACACACCGCCCGUCAAACCAUGGAAGUUGGUUUUACCUUAAGCUGGUGCGCUAACCUUCGGGGGGUAGCCAACCACGGUAAGAUCAGUGACUGGGGUUAAGUCGUAACAAGGUAACC